rnacentral:lncRNA from 1 species
GUGCCUCAGGAGUCAGGGAAUAGACCGGAUUCUAGGAAGCACAGGCAGGGCAUGCAGUGCUUCAGGGAGACGGAGCAGGAUGAGCACUGGGAAGAGACCUGACACUCGGGAGGUAACUGCUGACCUAAAUAAAGCAGUUCUAGUGGGUGGGCGUGGGUGAGCAUCAGACCACAGUGAGUGGAGGAGGCAGGCAAGUGGAGACGGCAUUCUCUCUUGGAAAAUUUGGCAGUGCAGGGAAGGAAAGAGAUUGGGUAAGAACUUGAAAGAGGAACGGGGGUGAAAAAAAAAUUUUUAUGGAUAGGAGAGAUUUGGGUAGCUUUUUAGGUUGAAGAGACAAAAUUGAGGGGGAGGAAAGGAGGAUGCCAAUAAGCAUAAAAAUGUAAGGGAUAAAAGAUUUAUUUUUACAAAUUUUUUGAUGUCUAUCUUUCUCAUCAGAGCAGGGAGUCAUAACAAUGUGACUUCUUUCCAGUCUUAAAUUAGAACAACUCAACAAUUCCUCUCAAUCUCCACUUGUCUCUUAGAAAUCAUGUCUUUUGUGGCUGAAGAGGUUUUUGAAUAUUCAAAAUACGUAUUAGUGCAUUUUAGAGGCAGGUUUCUUUUCUUGAGCUUAGUUAUAUAUUUUAGUUACCUUUUAAUUUUUUUUUCUAAAAAUAUCACUGUAACUGGAACUAUGAUUAUUAUCUUAUUUCUUCCUUUAAUAUAGAUAGCAUAUCAUGUAUCUAUUUUGUGUGUGUGUGUGUGUGUGUGUGUGUGUGUGUUGUGUUUAUUUGCAAAGCCACAGGAAGAUGUUGUUUAAGAAGGAGAGAAUCAAGGGCUGCAAAGAAGGCAAACAAGACAGAUUUUAAAAUGUCCACCAGAGGCCAUUCUUGACUUCGUCAAAACCAAUGGCUUUUGUGGCUCAAGAGGUUUUCAAGUAUUGACAGUAUAAAUUAGUGCCUUUUAGAGUCUUAUCGCUCUUCUUCUGCUUUAGUUAUAUUUUUAGGAGGGCAGAAGACAGGUUGCAGUGGAUUAAUAAAUUACUGAGACGUGAAAACAAGAGAUGGCAAACUGAGGCAAGUAUGUGAGGAAACACGGCUUGGGGUGAGGGAUGGAUGGAAGAUCAAGAAGGUGUUAUUUGUUUUUUCAAAUGCAGGAGAUGUGAGUACAUUUAUGUGCUGGUAAGAAGACAGCAUCAAGAGGACAAGAUUGAUGAUAUAAGGACCAGACUGUAUUAAUUGAUCAAGUGGUAGCCCAGAGAAGAUGAGAAGAGAGAAAAUUCAAAGGAGGAAUUCAAAGGCCUCCACCUCAGUGGCUUCCAGGAACAUCUUCAUCCAGGAAAAAAAAAAGGGGGGGUGUGGUGAGGGCAGAUGAUGGACAAGAGCCCAGGGUUGUGUGGUCAGCUCGAGGCAGAGCUGGAACAGAAUCCACGCCCCCCCACAGCUUGUCUGGAGCAUUAUGCCAUCCUUCUUGUACUUUUCUUCGUGGAAAUGGCCCAAGUGCUUUAUAUAUAUACUAAGAUGAACCAUAAAGAAUAUUUAAUUUUCCAAUUCAGAAAUGGAUCAAGUAUUGUCCAUUUCAUAUUAUCAUCCUAAUACUGGCUCAUUUAACCCUCACAACAGCAUAUAUUAAAUUCCAUAUUUCACAGAUGAAAAGGCUGAAAAAAGGGGGUAAGGAUAUUAAUGUGCCCAAGGUCACCCAGCAAGGAAAUAAUGGAGCUCGGGUCUGAAGCCCAGUCCUUGAGUCCAGGGUCAAUGCUCCUGACUUACUGAAUCUACUGACUGAAUGUACUGAACUUAUUGAUUGAACUUAUUCUUCUUUGUGAAUUUCCAAGUCCUUCUCUUGAUGCCUCAGGCACAGGAGGCAGUUGGGGAGGGCAGGGGUAAGGAGGGAUGUGGAGUGAGGGGUGAAGGUGGGGAGCCGAGGCUCAGGCUGUGUCUGUGGCAGCUUCGGUUCCCCAUUAUCAUCCAACUCUGUCCUAAAGCGUUUUGUAACUUGAAAAUUCAAUGAAUACAAAAUGCUGGUAAACUGCAUCCAAAAACCACUGAUAUCUUCUACUCACAGUCUUAUUUUUCUGGUAUGUGCACAAGUGAAUUCUUAUCUAUCUGAAAAAAUUCAAAACCAACUCUACAUCCCUGACUGACCAGUGUGUGCUUAGUUAAGGCUUGGAAGCAAAAAGCCAGGAUCGCCCAUUCCCCUGACCACAAUAAAAGAAGUCAACAAGCCAAGCAGCUUUUUCCAACACACUCGAGAGCAAGAGCAUCUCCAUUUUAUAUGCACUUUUUAUCAUGAUCGACACAUUGUAAUAGGAACAGUAUCUCUGAGGCAUGGGUCUUACCCUUUUCUGCUUCUGCUUGAAGGACUCCUAGUGGCCUGGGAGCUUUCGGACAGAAUCUCAUGGCUCUGUGAUUCACAAAAUGGAAAUCUGGCAUUAUAUGCCAGUGACAUUCACUUCUGUGGCAGCUCAAGCAGCAAAAAGCCAUAUGCCACACACCUCAGAUCCAGCCAAGCCACGCAAACGGAAAUGUGAAAGAGAAAUAAGGAAAUUGGGACCAGAAACGCUCUCGGGAGCUGACUGCCUCCAGCACCUAAAACACAUAAUCACUGUGGCAAGAACCAAAUCUUCCUACUCUUACGACACUCUUGGGAAAUGUAAUUUUUUUUUUUUACUAAUUUAAGAGAACUUUGGGAGAUAAAGGUAAAAUACAAAAGACAAUUUUUUGUGAAUGACACGGGGAGGUCACAUUUACGAUUUAACAUGACUGCUACACAGGUACAUGUCUGCCGGGUAUGCAGUCACCUAAAUGGGUGGGCCUGCCAGCAGGCACGUUUGUCUUCUGCACUGAAGGUCUCUCAGCAGCCAUCCUGUGAAAGGAUGAGCACCAUUAUUGACGUUAUUUUCCCUACUGGCCUGGAAAUAAGACUAGUGGGAAACAGAGUACUCCCCAAAUGGCCACCAUAUGUGGUUUAAGAUCAAGGAAAAAAAUUAAACAGAGGGAUUUCUUUUUUUAACUAGGGGCUGUAACCACUCUCCUUGGAAAAAAGAAAUUCAGUUUAUUUUGUGACUGUUCGAUGUCUUUGAGGCUCUCAUUCACCUUAUAUAAAGCUACAUAGGUGGAAAAAUAAUUACUACCACUUUUGUUAAGAAAGGAAUGGCAGGUUGCUUGGGUGGCUCAGUUGCUUAAGCAUCUGACUCUUGAUUUUGGCUCAGGUCAUGAUCUCCCGGUUCGUGGGUUCGAGCUCUGUGUCAGAUUCUUCACUGACAGUGCGGAGCCUGCUUGGGAUUCUUUGUCUCCUGUCUCCCUCUCUUUCUGCCCCUCCCCUGUUUGCUCAAAAAUAAAUAAAUAUAACAUUUUAAAAAAUAAUGAAAUGGCAAAAUAAUUUUAUAAUUCCCUCCAAGUAUUGGCAUCUGAAGAAGAGGGUCUGACUGAAGGAUCUAGAAAUGUUUCUCAGUAAGGCCUACUGGCAUUUGGGGUAAGAAAACUCUUUACUUGGUAGAACUGCAGAAUACUUAGUACCUAUGGUCUCCAGGAAUUGAACAAGAGUGACCAUUCCAUAUUAAAACAGUGUAAAUUAAUUCAUCUUAUUGGCUAGGUGGACUGUUUUAAAUAAUGUGUGAAUUAAACAUUUCUGGCCACUUAUUCAUUCAACAUUCAACCCAAAGUAAUUGGGCAGAUACUAUUUCAAAAAUACCUGGAGAAUAUUAGGAUUUAAAGUUAUAGUUCUUGCUCUCAAUGCUAUAUUGAUUUAAUUUAGAAAGGUAAGUUUGUAACUAAAUAACUACUACUAUAUAGCUAGAAGAUAUUUUCCAAAAGAAGUUCAUGCUUCCAUGUCAUGGGGGCAGAGUGACAGAAUUUCAUUCUGAAUGAAGAGGAGAUGGUAAUCAUCCAAGGUGGUAUCCCUGAGGUGGCAAUGUGUAAAUUCCUAAAACAGAAUUUCAACAAGCAGAUGAGGGAAGGGUGGCAGAAGGAAUGAGGGUGAGUACAUAUCUGCAACAUGAAAGUACCAUGGCAUACACAAGGAACUGUGGGCAGUUCAGAAUAUUACAGAGCUUAGAGCAGGUGCAACGUGAAGAUAUGAGGACGAAGCAAGAAAAGUACAUUAGGUUAAUUAAAGAGAUAUCUAAACAUCUUGCUAAGGCCAUGAAAAUUUAUGAGGCAGGUAAUGGACAGCCAUGAUGGAUUAAAAGCAAGAAUGAUAUAGUCAGAUCCAUGUUGGAGGACAUUUGGAAAGUAGGAAGGUUUCAAAGCUGGAAGAUAAGUUACUGCAAUAGCUGGUGUCUCAGUCAGCUACUGCCAUAGUCUGUGUAACAAAUAAUACCAAUAGCUAAGAAUUUCUUCUCAUACUCACAGGUCUAUAGAUCAGCCAAGGUUAUAGUUUUAAGCUGUAAUUCUAUGGGAUGACUGGGGAAACUGUACUCAUAUGCCUCAUUCUGAGACCUACACUGAAGGAGGAGUGGCUGCCCAGGGAGUAUACUUCAUAUCAUGAUGAAGGCAGAAGUGCAAGAGCUCACGCCAACCACACAUGCAAUAUUCAAGCCUCUGCUUGCUUCAUAUUUGUGAUCAUUUCACUGGCCAAUGUGAAAAGUUAAAGGGUAGGGGAAAUGCGAUUCACUCCCCAUCAGACUGUGGCGAGGAUGUAUAGAUAUAUAUCACCCCUAUGGAUCAGUAAAGGACUGCAAGCAGACAUCCCAUCUAUCAGAUUUGGAGAAAAGAGGAAGACCUGAGCUAAGGCAAUGAUGAGAAGGCAGAGGACCUUAGUUAUUGUAGCGGCUUUGGCCACCAAUUGGCUUCACAAAGAGGAACUUGUCCAUAAACUUCCAAAUAGAAACUCAUUAGAUUGCCAGCUCCAGGAAGUCAGAAACCACCUAUCUAGUUCACCUCUGUAUUCCCAGUGCCUAGCACCAUGCCUUCUGUGUUGUGGACACAAAGUAGUAUUUGUUGAAAGAAUACCCAGCAUUUGAAGUGUAGGUGAAAUAGCGACACUAUUUACCAAGAUAUGGAACACUAAUGUGGCCAUGCUGUGUGUAUGACGAUUGUGGGAUAGUAACACUGAAUACUGUCUACAUCCGAGGCACUGAGUAGAUCCUGAGAAUACAGAAAAAGCAAGGAACUGCUCUCAAGAAGACUAUUAAAUAGACAACUGCAGUUCACGGUGGUUAAGUUCUAAGGUAAUGGUAUUAUUAGGGCAAAAGCAAGGGGAUCACUUGAGGGUCAUCUGAGUAUGUCGUUGGCACAAGUGACAGCGGCUGGCUUGAGAACUUCCCCAAGGAAGAUGUACACCUAGUGCGGGAACAAUAUCUGACUUAACUACCUAUCUAAAUGACUUCUUCCCACAUAGUUUCACUGAGCACCUACUAUUAUUUUUAAUUUCAACAGAACUGUGUGGAAAACACAGAAAUAAUAAAAGGAAGGGGAAAGGGAAGGAGAGGAGAAGAAGAAACCAGCAGUUUAGAGUUCUCAUCUCUCUGAUUCAAGUAUUCAUGUUUACUUUUCUUCCUAUAACAAAUUCAGUCUUGCUUUGGUACCCUCUUCCUUUGUUCCUGCUUUUGACCUGUUUGUUCCUCUCCCCCUUUGUUCCUGCUUUUGACCUGUUUGACCUGGUGGCUUAGCUCUAUGCUGGACAUGGAGAGAGCAGCUAGCAUCUGGCGUUGAACCAGCAGGUGAGGGUUUUAGUUUCUAUUUGGUAAAAUAAAAGUGGACUGGUUGACCCAUCAUUCACUGCUGCUCAGAUAUAAAAGCAUGGUUUUGAAAACCCUGCAUAGACAUAUAAGCAAUUUAAAUCAGCAGGCGAAUUGUACACAUUUAAAUAAUUAACUCUAUUUUAAAACUUCUGACCCCUUAGAUCUGGUAUUUCUGAAGGAGAUACUUAGAAAUUUCACUUGGGAUCUUCAACUUCUCCCGGCUCUUAUACUGGAGUCUUAACAAACGGCUUCUGACACCACUCUCUUGUUCUGACUCCCUGUCUCAUCUUAUCUAGGGCACCUCUUUGCCUUCCAUCCCUUGCCUCUUCCUAACCUCUGGCACCGUGAGUUGGCAAAAAGAGCAUGUAAAUCACAGUACCUUUACGAUCUUCUGUUCUACCUUAGUUAGGAAACACAUCCCUUUGUAGAACUGUGUUCUCAACUCCCCUAUUACAUAUAAACACUCACCUUCUUUGCAAUUACAAGAUAAAUAUUUUCUUUUAAAUCAAGGAGGACUCAUAUUUCAUGAGAGAUUUGCAUCUAAUGGUACUCUUCUUAGCUGUCCAACUCUGAUUCCUACCUGCCCUUUAAUUUAAAAUGCCUAAAUCUCAUUAUGCCUUACUUAAAAUGUAGGUAACUUCUUUUUAAUUGGACAUAUACUAAUAAAAUGAUUUCUGUGCCAUUAUCAAAUCCCUAACACAAUCCACAAUGGAAUAUGGAAUCCAGGUCAUAGGAACCAGUUAACAAUUCAUUCAGCACCCCAAAGUGUAGUUAACAAAAGGGAGAGAAGUUUCAGAAGUCGUUGAGCAGAGUUACGUAGAGCAGUUAACUUAGAGUCACUAUUAUUUUCAUGUUCAGAGAUGAUCUGCAGAUGAACCAAGGGACUGAUGUAUCUUACUGCUGUCCAGUGGAAGAACCUAUAAAAUUUUUUGUCUCCUAAUUAGCGUCAGUUUAGCACAUGUUAUACCUAUAAAGAGACACUGACUCCAGGAAGACUAGAAACUAGGAGAACUCAAAGCUAGACCUUGCACCUAAAGGAACCUCUAAGAUGUAGAUUUACUAUUGUCAGGCUUAUCCAAAAUUACUCAUCAGACUCAAUCAUGGUAAUUAUCAUUUUUAUAAAUGCUCCAGUUAACGUUAAGAAAGAGAACAUCAAGAAAGAAAAACACAUUAGCAAUGUUUCAGCCAACUAAACCUAACAGUUGAUUCUUGAACAAAUUUUAAACAGUUUAACCGUUUCUUAGGGAAAUUACAUAAACAAAGUCAACAAAAUCUAACUCUUUCUGGAUGACUCAGGAUAUAACCCCUUCAGAAGGAGAUACCCUGGGCUAUUAAUGGCACGACCUGGGACAAUCCCUAGAAAUAGACCACUUUAUGAACACUCUCACAUUUCUCAUAAAAGUCAUACAGACCCUGUGCAGCUGGGACCACGAGGACAAUAUGGUGGGAUGGGUAUUCUAUUACCUUAAUCACUAAAUCCACAGGAAAAGCUUGUUUUUUGUUUUUUUUUUUUUCUGGAAAUGUCUGCUAUUAGUGUUGCCAUAACUAUCCUUUUCCUUUUCAGAGGCAUCUAGAAACAUGUGUCACCUAGUGGUUGCUUCAGGCAAGACUGAGCCAAGUAGUUUAUCUGCCCGAUGUGGUCCAGAGAGCUCAGAGCCCGCCUAGGGGCAGUGAUUUCCCAUUCUCAUCUCACAGAUGAGCAAUCUGGAGCUCGCAGGGCUGAAUCCCUUGCACAAGGCUAUGCAGCUGGCUGGGGAGAGAAUGACAAGUGUGCUGUGCCUCUGAGAUUUGGCUAAGCUCCUCAGUCACUUGCAGGGUAUCUGUGGGCAGGCUGGGGAGGGGCAUCCCUUGUGACCAGAAACACACAGAGAGGACUUCCUCCUUGCUCAGGAAUCUGUCCUCAUUGCAGUCAACAUCUCCUUUUGCAGCCAAACCAAAGUUCAAUGGAUUUUCACACAGAGGUAUGGAAAAAUCUGUAUUUGUAGGUAUUUGAACAAACUACCUUGGAAAAUCAAAGCAGGCCAACUAUACUACACAACCAAGUGCAAAUGACUGUCAAUUUAGGUUAUGACUGUUGAGACCAGCACAUGGUCCCAUUUGUAUGGGCCAAUUUACAAAGCCAAGCUUUAAGGGCCUCAUCUUCACUGUGAUUUGGGGAAAUAUCAUUGUUAUUAUUACUAUUGUCGUUACGGUUAUUUUUGCUACUGCCAGUUUAAAGAUGAGAAGGAAUCUAGGCCUAAAGGACGUUCUCAAGAACACACUGCCAGUGAGGAGCCACUUGGCCAGGAUUGCCACCAGAUACUCCAGCUGCAUUCAACCUUGGUUCUCUCCUCUCCAGCCUUGCAUCUCAAUGGGUCAGGGAAUCGUGCCCCCAGAGGGAGAAAUUUGGUUCUUGGAGGAGCAAAAAAAUCUUACUUGGUCUCUUUCUCAGUCUUCCUGCUGCCUCUAGACAGCACAGUUCAUAUUGAUGAGGACAGUAGAAGACAUAUCUUGAUUACUGUCCAAAUGGAAGUGGCAAAUUCCAUAAAAAAGAGUAACACUACCUUAAGUGAAUAACUUAAAAGCAUUCAUUUAAGCGCACACACACACACACACACACACACACACACACACACACACUCAAAACCUUUUGCUACCUACCCACCAGGAAGCCUCAAAGGAAAAAAUAAAUCUAUUCAUAUAAUGCAUUUGCUUCUACAGGAAGUACGAUUUCCUUUGUGUCAAACCUUAAAGACCUUUGUGAAACACGAGAAGCUUUUUGAAUAAAUACUUGUAAAUGGCCUAGACAGCUGAAAAAUGGAUAGCCUCCUUGUACAUCAGGGCCCUUUAAAAGAAUUCUCCUCUACUUAAAUAUUCAUGUUUCAAUUAAAACAUACACCUACUUUAUUAGCUAGCCCAGGCCUGGUUCAGAUCAAUAACAGCAGCCCUAGAUAGAAUUCUAAUGAAGAUAAACAACUCCGAGUCCUCCCCAGCUUCCCCUGGGCACGGAUGCACAAAGCCUCCUUUCACAACUUGCUGCAAGAUAUUUUACAGUCACCUGCCUCAUGCAAAUGAGGAGAUUCAUGUUUAUUCAUGGCGAGAGUUACAGACCACCUUUCAUUCCCUAGGCCAGCUUAGCUAACCAACAAGAGCGCUGUCUGCACCACUAUGAAGUUGAGCUGGCCUAGGAAGGGGACUCCUGAAUAUAUAAUUGCCCCCUGAAAAGCAUGCACAGAAAGUCAGUAAACUGGAAACAGUUCGGGGAGUGAACAUACUUCCCUUUCUUAUUCAUGCCAUCACUGCCUUUAAGCUUUCAAACAAUCCCUUUUCUACACCACACCGUAAUCCAUUAGAUGUGACUAGUUAGUGGCUAUUUUCCAUGGAUAAUCUUCCAGAGAACUUCCCAGGAUGUUUCCUCUGUUGUGCUCUCCAAUCCUUCCUAAUUGAGAUUUUCUCCCACUGACUCAGACGGAGCUCAUAGCCUAGCCAGGGGCAGCUGCGGCUUUGUCUGAAGGCCCUGGGUUCUCUCUGUGCACAGCCUCUCCUAUUUUAAGGGGUGAUUUCUCAUCUGCAAGCCUGAGAUCCUAACCUCUAUCGCAUGUGCUUUGCAUAUUAUGCUGCUGGGUAAAGUUUUAAAAUAGUGCUUUUGCUCUAGAGUGACUGCAUUUUUCAAAUCAUUAAUUUCUUCCAUUUUGGCAAUUUGAAAGCAUGGCAAAGUCAUUGGAUCUCAUUUUUAGUGCUGAUUUCGAUAACAUCUAAAGUAACCCCAAUGCCAUGAACAAAUAUUUGGAUGGUAUCUAGAAGGUGCAGACAUCCCCAGAGAGGUCUGGGCUGCUAGGUAAUGGCUAGAGAGGCCUUAACUCUCUCCAGCUAUUAAACACCUGAUCUUUGUGAAACCUGAGUUUUAGCCUGCUGCUCACGGCCUGUCACAUGGAAAACUAAGGGACCGAAAUUGUUUCUGCCCAAAUCCAUGAGAUUUUCAGUUUAAACCCUAUUUCUGCCAAAGUUAAAUGAACUUCAUGCCAUUCAUUCCGUUCAGAACUCAAUCUGUGGCACAUACGCAGCUUCACUUUUCUCAUUGUUUCCUUCUUUGUUUGUUUAACAUAAUGGCCAAAAAAACCCAUUUUCUUUUGAAAAGGACAAUUUGUUCAUUUCUCAUAGACAGGAUUUAUCUUAUUACAUAUCAAAAGAAUACAACUGCAUGUGACAUUUUACUUCCUUGAAGCAUUUUUACAUUUAAUACUUCAAUUUAGUAUCAUAGCACCACAAGAGAGGGCAAUGGGAUACUGGUAUUCCUGCCUCCUCCCACCCCCUGGCCUUUUUAUUUUCAGGCAUAGAGCUCCUGAGUAGCACAACCAGGUCUUACAAACCAAUUGGCAUACUACUUCAUCGAUGUAUACAAUAUGUACUAGUUGGUGAUUUGUGUUACAUGUAUCCACUAAUGGUCAUUCCACAGAUGUGAUUCACCUUUAGCGAUCAAAUCCACCUUAAUAAAAAAUCUUCAUGAGAGCUUUGGCCCCACCCCAAAGAUGUAAUUGUUAUGUUGUGCAAUUGGGCACUGGGAUAACAGAAGUUUCAAAAGCCCUGCAGGUGAUUCUAAUGUUCAGGCAAGGCUGAAAAACACUGCUACACAUAAAUAUCAAUUUUGAAGUGUAUUAUACUCUUGUUAGAAUUUUUAAAGUGGCAUGGUCGGCAACAAAUGCUUUAAAUAAGAUUCCCAGACCUGAACUACCCAAAUCACUUAUGUCUUCUUUCCUACUCUGCUUAAAAAAUGAGGGCUUCAAUGAAAUGAUUAUGGGGCACUUGUGUGCCGAGGUAUUCAGCUGCAUUUUGAGCUCUUCUCUAAUGCCCAUAAAAAUGAACAAUGCAUGCUCUAAAAUAUUGGUAACAAAAGGCAAAAACAGAAUACAAACUCAAUGGCCUGAAUCAAUGGAUUAUUCUGCAGGGACUGCUAUAUUAGGAAACUGAAAGAAAGUACUUUUCAAACCAUAAAUAUUUUAAUCACUCUCUAAUUCUACUUCUUUCAUAUAAAUAAAAAACAUCCCAUCUUCCGCUUCCCAAGUCUGGAGCAGCAAGAAGAGUGAUGCUUUUCCAAACAUUUGCUUCCAGCAGAAGCAGUAACCACUAAGCACGAGAUAUCUAUAAACCAGUGUCCCAAGCAAGGUGGGUUGUAGGAGAAAUUCCUGCAUCUGCUGGAAUCCGGUAUUGUUUGUAAAAUCAGAAUUUUGGAUUGAGGAAUACUGCCUCUCCAGUAAUGAGCUAAAGAAGGCAGAUAGCUAAGUCCUUCUUACAGAACUGGGGGUCACAGGUCGACAAGCAAAUCCGCUGUCCAUGCCUCUGUUCAAAGUGACAACAGUCUGAGAUGGUGGCCAAGAAAGUUCAAAAGAAAGUGUGUCUCAUGAAGGGCUCUUUUAAGAUAUUUGGAAUUCACAUUUGGGGAAUCUUUGGAAACAAGGAAAGCAUUAAACCUACCAAUAACCCCAAAUCCAUGUGUGUUCCUAAAUUCAAUAGCUUCUGCUACAAAGUUAAUAGCAAGAAGAAAAGUGAAUUGAUUAAAAUUUCAGCCCUUCUCUCUUUUCCAACUUAUUAUUUGGCAAAGUAGAGCAGUGGUUGAUAGACAAGCAGCAGGAAAAAAAUCAGGAAGACACUGACCUAGAGGCCCUCAUACAGAGCCCAGCUUUUUUCACAAGGCUGGUAGAAGCAGAACAGAGACAUAAAAGAAAAGGGACAUAGUUAAAUCUGUACUUGAGCAACCACUAGCAGAACUCUGACUGAUAUUAUGCUGGUCUACCAGCAAAUAGAACAACAACAACAAAAAGCUCAUCCGUCCAUGUUUCAAUAUUUUAAAUUGAUAUGCAUAAAUACGGAUACAAAUUUAAUAUACCUACAAAUUAAACAUAUAUUAUGGUAGGCAGAAAAAUAUCCCCCUGCCCCACACUGAUGUCCAUGUUCCAAUCCCUAGAAUCUGUGAACAUGUUACUUUACAUGGCAAAGGGGAAUUCAGGUUGCAGAUGGAACUGAAGUUCCUAAUCAGCUGACCUUAAAAUAGGGAAGAUUAUCCUGGAUUACCCAGAUGGUACAACGUAAUCACAGGGGUCCAUAAGAGUGAAAGAUCCAAGCCAAAGAGGGAUCAGAGUGAUGAGGUGUGAUGUGGGAAGGAUAGGACCUGUGGUUGGCUGGCUUUGAAGAUAAAAAGGGCAACCAGCCAAGGAAUGCAGGUUGGCCUCUAGAACAUGGAAAACACUAGAUGGAUCCCCCCCCCCCACCCCCAGAGCAGCCAGAAAGGAACACAGCUCUGCUGACUCCUUAAUUUUAACCCAUGAAUCCCACUUCUGGCUUCUGUCCUAUGGAACUAUACAUAAGAUAGUACAUUUGUAUUGUUUAAACUAUGAGGUCCAUAGCAAUUUGUUGCAGCAACCAUAGAAAACUAGUACACACAUGACAAAAGAGUACAUUAACUGAUACACUCUUCCGUUUACAAAACUAAGGCAUGUGUAACACUAAAAAGAAAAAAGCAACCAUAGCAAAAACAUUUAAUAUGGAAAAUUUAGAUCCCUGGUCAUUUCCAUCACUGGUAUUCACUCUUGACCAAUGGAUAUGUGUGCAUAGGAUGAGACCCUCUGGCUCUCAGGCUUCCAGCUGCCUACUCGCAGCCAUAAACCGCCAUCACUACUUGGCAGCACAUAUGUGACACUGAACAUCUACGAUCGGCAGAUGAUGCAAAAAGACGGCACUAGGGCCACGAUGAAACACUAUCCCCCAAACCUGCUGAAGACAUCUUGCUGAAGACAGUUUUUACAGCCAUAGAAGUUAACUAUAAAAAGUUGCAGAGUUGACACGUCAGGGACCUCACCCUGCACAGGCAGGAUAUCAUUACCACUGACCCAAGCACAUGGCCACGAUGAACCACAGGGACCUGAGAGCCAUGCUCACUUCCUAAAGACAGAGGCUUCUGGUCACCUUUGCCAACAAUGUAUUCUUGGGGCUCCAUUUUGUAAACUACAUGUUCUGUAGGAUUUAAGCAUCUAAGUGCUAACCGCCUUGAGUGAUUCCUCUGCAGAAAUUUGGUAAUAUUUUCCAAAUAUCUCAUCUGUGCAUAUGUCAACAACAAUAGUAUAUACAUCAUUAUCAUUGACAAAAAUGCCAAUUUCUGUAAUUCAGAAGAAGCAGAGUGAAUGAAAUCCUCUCAGAAAGCAGACAGACAGGAUGCCGGGGUCCAACUCUUGAUUUUGGCUUAGGUCAUUAUCUAAUGGUUCCUGAGAUGGAGCCCUGUGUUGGGCUCUGCACCGACAGCAUGGAGCCUGUUUGGGAUUCGCUUUCUCCCUCUCUCUUUGCCCCUCUUCUGCUCCUGCUCUGUCUCCCUCUCAAAAAUAAACUUAAAAAAAAAAGAAAAAGCAAGCAAGCAGACACCUGAUGCCAGAACACAGGCCAGCCAGUGGAUUCCCUUCUCCUGAAGGGACAGGUGGCCCAUGAACAUAGAAGCUGAAGACCAGAUGGCUUUCAGAAACACUGUAGUACAUGAAGAGUUGCUCUGAUCCAGGGGCAGAGUAGCCUUGGCCAUUUCAGAGACUUUUUAACUCUCUUUCUCUCUCUCUCUCUCUUUUUUUUUUUUUUUGGCUUGAUUUGUACGAACGUCUCCCUGCUCCUUCAUUCCUCUUUCCAGAGGAUGAUUUGUACCUGAAUUGCCACGUCCCUCCUAAUCAAGUGAAGUACACUCAAGAGGCUACAGAAUUACUGGGUUUCUCUCCUUCACCUCCCUUCUUCAAUCAUACCUGUGCCUGUGCAUCGCUGCUGAGACCCUUGGCAGCUCCAGUUGUAGCUUACGCAUCAGGGCUCUCCAUGUCACUGGGGCCUAUUUCAAUGGAUUAAAUAGAUGGCCCAAGGUGACCAAGAUAGAAUGGCAUUUGUCUGCUACAACUGCAGGUGAGAUCAUUAUGCUGAUGGGGACAGUCAGGUUAGAACCUAACUGAGGCUCAGCAAAGAGUAUCAUUUCCUCUUCAUGGUUUCCUUUCUUUUCAACUGCUAUCAGUUCCAGGUGCCACAAACCAGAAACAUGGUGGUAAAGAAGGAUGGGCUGUAAGUUCAGAGGAAAGGUGACAGGGAGGUAAAGACCAAUAAGAACAUGAAGCACAGUUGGAAUUCUGACAUUAUAUUAUGCCCCAAGCACAAGCUAUGAAGUCCCCAUAGGAUGACGGUGAGGUCAGACCCUUCGACUCUUAGCGACAACACUUACGUGCCCAGUACCAGGUCAGCAGGUAUGGGUGAUGGAGCCAAGCAAACCCAGAUCCAUAAACAGUAGCAAAUUAAAAGUACUGAACACCUCACCCAAUAUACCUGUCCUGAAUACACCUGUCUCAACCAUCAGUUAUCAUUAGCGAUGUGAUUACCGUUAACAAGGCCUUUAUCUAAGGAUAAAGAUUUUGUUUAUCGUGAAAAGUUUACAUGAUACUUCUGCCUUCUCUAAGUUGGUCAACACUCUUCUUGGUACCCAACAUUCACUCACAAACAGAAAUGGGAAAUUUACACUCUUAUAGAAAACCAAAGAAGACGUCCGUUCAAAGAAUCAAAUGCUUUCUGCAAACUAAAAAAAUGUUCCAUAUAAAUUUACUAAACUCCCUGAAAGAGAUUUUGCAUUUUAAUAAAAACGCUUUUUGACACAGCAAAGGGCAGAUUAUCUCAACACAUCCGUAAUCCACAAAGAAACCAAGUUACCUAGAAAGAGCCGCCUUCCUGAUCUCAUUCUUUCUCCAACAGCCACUGCACAGGGGGAGAGAGAGGCAUCCAAUGGGUGUUGCAAUAACAAGGCAUCUGGACUCAUGCCGGAAUAAGUUACUCUAGAUAAUAUUUUUCAAGAAAGGGUCUCUGCUGGUGGCUCCAGUUUAGUUAGUCAAAAGGAACAAAACUGCUCCAGGCUUAUCCCUAGAGAGAUGAGAACAUCGCCAACACAAGCUUCCCAUCUAUACAGGUAUGUCUUCCUUUUUUCAUUUGCAAGGCAACCUAAAAAUCACAGUUGUCCCCAUUCUCCUGAUCUGCCUUCCACACACAGUUAAGGAACCAUGCAAAGGUGAGGCUCCUUGGGAGACAAAGGAAGCUGCCUCUGCCUCAGAUUCACCUUACCUUGUUGAAGUCUUCAGAAGUUGCCCUCAUUUCCUUCCAUGUCUUGUUCAGGAGCUGGAUACAGAUGCAGAAAAACUCCUCAAAGGAUCUGUCAUGGGUGAAGAACAUUGGGUGGAAGUCGUUGCAGGUCUCACUAGCUGGAAGAAAGAGAAGGGAAAUAAGAGAAAGUUUGCAGAGUGAAAUGAGAAAACACAGCCACAUGUGGGUGUCCCAAAGAGAGAUGAUGGGAGGCACGUUUGGCUCAAGCCACGGUGGAACUAAGGCAUUUUGAAAAAGAAACCUAAUGAUAGUGUCCAUGGGCAACUGUGAAGUUGAAGGUCAGACAGUC